UAUAGCUGAGUGGCAUAGUGCUUGUCUGGUGAGCGUGAGGUCCUGAGUUCAAUUCUCGGUA
rnacentral:tRNA from 1 species